UGCAAGUCGAGCGAAUGGAUUGAGAGCUUGCUCUCAAGAAGUUAGCGGCGGACGGGUGAGUAACACGUGGGUAACCUGCCCAUAAGACUGGGAUAACUCCGGGAAACCGGGGCUAAUACCGGAUAACAUUUUGAACUGCAUGGUUCGAAAUUGAAAGGCGGCUUCGGCUGUCACUUAUGGAUGGACCCGCGUCGCAUUAGCUAGUUGGUGAGGUAACGGCUCACCAAGGCAACGAUGCGUAGCCGACCUGAGAGGGUGAUCGGCCACACUGGGACUGAGACACGGCCCAAACUCCUACGGGAGGCAGCAGUAGGGAAUCUUCCGCAAUGGACGAAAGUCUGACGGAGCAACGCCGCGUGAGUGAUGAAGGCUUUCGGGUCGUAAAACUCUGUUGUUAGGGAAGAACAAGUGCUAGUUGAAUAAGCUGGCACCUUGACGGUACCUAACCAGAAAGCCACGGCUAACUACGUGCCAGCAGCCGCGGUAAUACGUAGGUGGCAAGCGUUAUCCGGAAUUAUUGGGCGUAAAGCGCGCGCAGGUGGUUUCUUAAGUCUGAUGUGAAAGCCCACGGCUCAACCGUGGAGGGUCAUUGGAAACUGGGAGACUUGAGUGCAGAAGAGGAAAGUGAAUUCCAUGUGUAGCGGUGAAAUGCGUAGAGAUAUGGAGGAACACCAGUGGCGAAGGCGACUUUCUGGUCUGUAACUGACACUGAGGCGCGAAAGCGUGGGGGA
rnacentral:rRNA from 2 species